CGAACGCUGGCGGCAGGCUUANCACAUGCAAGUCGAACGGGCACUUCGGUGCUAGUGGCAGACGGGUGAGUAACACGUGGGAACGUACCUUUCGGUUCGGAAUAAUCCAGGGAAACUUGGACUAAUACCGGAUACGCCCUUCGGGGGAAAGAUUUAUCGCCGAUAGAUCGGCCCGCGUCUGAUUAGCUAGUUGGUGAGGUAAUGGCUCACCAAGGCGACGAUCAGUAGCUGGUCUGAGAGGAUGAUCAGCCACAUUGGGACUGAGACACGGCCCAAACUCCUACGGGAGGCAGCAGUGGGGAAUAUUGGACAAUGGGCGAAAGCCUGAUCCAGCCAUGCCGCGUGAGUGAUGAAGGCCUUAGGGUUGUAAAGCUCUUUUGUCCGGGAAGAUAAUGACUGUACCGGAAGAAUAAGCCCCGGCUAACUUCGUGCCAGCAGCCGCGGUAAUACGAAGGGGGCUAGCGUUGCUCGGAAUCACUGGGCGUAAAGGGCGCGUAGGCGGACUCUUAAGUCGGGGGUGAAAGCCCANGGCUCAACCCUGGAAUUGCCUU
rnacentral:rRNA from 1 species